AACGAACGCUGGCGGCAGGCCUAAAACAUGCAAGUCGAACGCCCCGCAAGGGGAGUGGCGCACGGGUGAGUAACGCGUGGGAACGUGCCCUUCAGUACGGGACAACGUCGGGAAACUGACGCUAAUACCGUAUAAUAUCUCCGGAUCAAAGAUUUAUCGCUGAGGGAGCGGCCCGCGUCUGAUUAGCUAGUUGGUGAGGUAAUGGCUCACCAAGGCUACGAUCAGUAGCAGGUCUGAGAGGAUGAUCUGCCACACUGGGACUGAGACACGGCCCAGACUCCUACGGGAGGCAGCAGUUAGGAAUAUUGGACAAUGGGGGAAACCCUGAUCCAGCCAUGCCGCGUGUGUGAUGAAGGCCCUAGGGUUGUAAAGCACUUUCGUUGGGGAUGAUAAUGACCGUACCCAAAGAAGAAGCACCGGCUAACUUCGUG
rnacentral:rRNA from 1 species